GAUCACUGCUCGGGUCGGGCUGGGUAUCGGUCGGCGGGUGAAACAGGAAUCUGGUUCUUAGGAGAGGAAAGACUAACCACAUCACAGAGAUGAUCAGAAGGACAGCCAGCUGCACUGUGGGGCAGGCCUGUAAGCCAAUCCCCAGGCUUGCCUCCACUUGUGAACGCAAUUUACCUGCAAACUCUCUUGGAGCAAUGCAAAGGAUCUUGAACCUUGGUGACUCUGCCAGACGCCUGAAAAAUAUAAUUCCACUAAAGACGAAGUGUGACCAAUCUUCAACAGAAGAGAAACCAGUCCUUUAAAAAGUCAACAAUUCAUGUCUUGCAGUAGAAUUAUCCCUUUUGAAAACAACUUGAAUUUCCAUAGUCCCUCACUGUUGUCCUGAAGGCACUUCCUCUUCAGAUGUCUACCUGGAGGGAGAGGUUUUACAAAAAGCCUUCAAAACCGACACAUUUUUAAACCUCUGUGUAACAGUGUAUUACAUUUUGUAUGAUGUUUAAUGUUAAUAGCUUAAAUUAAAAGACUCUUGUUGGGAAUUA